GACAUGAUAGUCUUUGCAACUUAAUGCACAACUGCUUGAACACUGUCAAACUUAGUAAUGUCUAGAUAAAUCUCUGAAAUAUUUAUUCUUUAGACUAAGCUCUCUAAUUUGAAUAUAAUGGAGGUAUGAUUAGAACUAAGUGUGGGGGAAAGGCUAGAGUAACAGAUAGACCGAUCAUUGCUAUUAAUUGAGAAAAAGGGAAACUGUUUAAGAGCUAAAACUAAUGAAUAUAAUAAGUUCCUGUGCCCGAAACUGGAGGAACUAGUUCCUGUGCCCGAAACUGGAGGAACAAGUGCUGUGUAGGAUGCUCUACUCUGAGUAACAGGU
rnacentral:lncRNA from 1 species